GACAAAUUUACCAUCGGCUUAGGAGAAUUUCAAUGCUACUCGCCUCAGGUCCUUUCUCUGAGAAUGAUAGUUUAACUCAUUGGUUCUUAUCCUCAAAAGCAUUUUUUUUUUAUAAAAAGUAAAAUUAAUUAAGAAGUAGGUAGUCUACAAUAUGACCUGUGCAGGUCAUCAUACUAAAUGGAUAGUAAGUCCAAUUGACCGCAAUUGUCUUCCCCUAGUAGCAGUCCAAUUGACUGCCCCAUAACAUUCCCUGGUAGCAGCCCAAGUGACUGCCCUAUUACAUUCCCAGAAGCAGUAUAUAAACAAACAAAAGAUUAGAAUUUUGAAGUGUAGAAACAGAUGUCAGCCAUAAAAUUCCUAAUCCCAUGGUGGAGUUUGAUCAUUAGGAGGCAUUCUUUGAUGAUCGUCGAGUCAGUUUCAUGGAUGAGAAACAUGUCCAUUAGCUAUAAUGUCUUUAUGGAGGCACUACAGUAAUGGAUAAUAAACUUGAAGAAAUUUUUAGGCACGUAUCCAGAAGAUAGCUUUGUUGGAUAUCUAGUAGUCUGUUUGAUAAAUUCAGUUGGUUAUCUAGUGUCUGAUUGCUUAUGAUUCCUUAUAAUGGAUGCAACAUGCAACUGGUGGAAAAAUUGUUUCAGGUAGAUACUAGGAAAUUAUGCAUUGUCAGUUCUUUUGCUAUUUUGUUGCUACUACUUUUCUGAAACUGUAUAACAAUUAUUAAUAUUCACCAGGAAUAGUGCUUUAUGAGAUAAAAAUGCAGCUUCAAGAUACUGAUAACCAGCUUUCUACUUGGGCUCCUAAUCAAGUUAGUCCAUGCACAUGGAGAAGCGUGCAGUGUGACGAUAGCAAUAUAAAUGUCAUUCAAUUGAUGCUGCCUUCAAUGGGAUUCAAGGGAACCCUGUCGCCUAUAGUUGGAGAACUUGUAUAUCUUGAAGUAUUGGAGCUCUCGGGUAACAAUAUAACAGGUAAUAUUCCUGGAGAGCUAGGAAACCUAUCAAGGUUGACGAGCCUGAAAUUACAGAAUAAUCAGUUUACUGGAGAGAUACCAGCAUCCCUUGGCAGGCUUCCUAAACUAAAAUUUAUGGAUUUAAGUGAAAAUAAUUUAAAUGGAAAAAUUCCUGAUUCCUUGUCAUCCCUUGGAAGCUUGACUGACAUAUUGGUUCAUUUACUCUGUGUUGGCAGUAAUCUUGCUUACAACAAACUCACUGGUGGUGUACCCAAGCAGCUAUAUCAAGUGACCAAAUUCAAUUUUACAGGUAAUAAUAUUAGUUGCGGUGCACACUUCUUGAAUCAAUGUGAAUCCGACUUACUUAAUCAAGGAGGAUCUCAUAAUUCAAAGAGAACAUUGUUGCUCGGAGGUAUUGGAGGAGGCAUAGGGCUCGUAUUUGUGACUGUUAUAUUUCUUCUUUGGAGAAGCAGGAAGAAGGAUUAUCUACAUGAUUUGUUUGUUGAUGUUGCAGGUGAAGCAGACCACAAAAUCGAAUUUGGACAAUUGAAGAGGUUUUCAUGGAGGGAAUUACAAAUUGCAACUGGUGACUUCAACGAGAAAAAUGUUCUUGGACAGGGUGGUUUCGGCAAGGUAUACGUAGGAGUACUUUCAGACGAUUCCAAAGUAGCCAUAAAACGGCUAACUGAUCAUGGCAAUCGUGCUGGGGAAGAUGCUUUUUUACGUGAAGUUGACCUAAUAAGUGUUGCUGUUCACAAAAAUCUUUUGCGGUUGAUUGGUUUCUGUACGACACCUACAGAACGACUUCUUGUUUAUCCUUAUAUGCAAAAUUUGAGCGUUGCCUAUCAGUUACGAGAACUUAAACCUGGUGAGCCAGUGUUAGAUUGGCCAAGAAGGAAACAAGUGGCUAUGGGCACAGCACAUGGACUGGAAUACCUUCAUGAACAUUGCAAUCCCAAGAUUAUACACCGUGAUGUAAAAGCUGCAAAUAUCUUGCUUGAUGAGAACUUUGAAGCGGUUGUUGGUGACUUUGGCUUGGCCAAGUUGGUGGAUGUGAGGAAGACUUCGGUGACAACUCGAGUUCGGGGGACAAUGGGCCACAUAGCACCCGAGUAUCUUUCGACUGGAAAGUCCUCAAACAAGACAGAUGUUUUUGGUUACGGAAUCAUGCUCCUUGAGCUUGUCACAGGACAGCGUGCUAUAGAUAUUUCGCUAUUGGAUGGAGAUGUGUUAUUACUUGACAAAGUGAAAAAGCUUUGGCGGGAAAAUCAACUCGAACUCAUUAUUGACCCCAACCUAGACAGGAAUUACGACAUUCUGGAAGUCGAAAAGUUGUUCCAAAUCGCUCUUCUAUGCACACAAGCAUCACCGGAAGACCGUCCGAUCAUGUCAGAUGUAAUCCGGAUGCUAGAAGGUGAAGGCUUGACGGAGCGGUGGGAGCAGUUGCAACAAGUUGAGGUGACUCAAAAGCAGGACUACCAGAGGAUACAAAAGAGAUUGAAUUGGGACGAUGACACAUCGUAUAACCAGGAAGCUAUCGAAUUGUCUGGUGCAAGAUGAUGUGUGGAGACCUGUAACUACUAGGGUUUCCGCCAUCUCCGGUGCAACUCCAUGAGGGGUAGACCUUCAAUUUGAACUGACAAAGGGAAAAUAUGGAGUCAUUCAUGUGAUUGACUUCUGUUGCUUCCUCCAAGAAAGUUAAAGUUCUUUGGCAAGAGAAGUCACAUAGCAAAACACAGCUUAACCAGGAAAAGCAACACAUGAUGACAUAGAAUUAUAUUAGCAUCUCCAAGUCCCCCAUUACCUCCACAGUUCUUGGGAUGUAAUCAAUACUUGUCUCACGGCAGAUUAAGCUGUACUAAC